AAUGGAACGUAAUAAUCAGUUUUUUCAUGUACAAAGCAGCUCAUGGAGCUCAGAUGUGUUUGAGAUAUGGUGAAUUUAACUGACAUUACAGGAACUUAUUUUCUACACCUGAAAGUUAGGCAGUCAUUACUGAUUAUUCCUGGUUCGCAUUGCUAUCCAUCACCAUCCAAAUCCCACAGUAUUCAGGUGUCAAAAGUUGAACUGAGAAAGCAAAUACUGCCAUAUGAAAGAACAGAUCACGGAAUUGCUACAGAGGAAUCAGGAAUGUAAUCUGUACAAUAUGGGAAAGAUGUGACGGAGCACUGGGAACAUUGCCUUAAAAGCAUCUCUCAUUUAUUUAAAGGGUCUGUUAGUGUCCCUCGAUGUGAUACAAAUGCUGUGAGAAUAUGCAUCACGGCAGUUAUCCAUGCAUAUUCUGCUGAGACAACAUCCUUCAUAGGAAGUCUUCUCCAUCAGCCUGCUGUGCACACAUUUUUGUUGAUAUACUGGCAACUCUAUGUGAGGACAAAUGCUAUCAAUGGCACUUUCUAGUGGAGAUGUCAUUUUAGUGAGCUCUAGAAUUCAAGCAAAAAGGCAGUGUAAGCAGUGUGAAUCCAGUCAUGCAAUGAAAAUAUAUUUAGAUAGUAUGGAAUUUAUAAAACUAAUUGCAGAUUUGUAGGUGUUUUUCCACGUAUUUUAAAUGUUCAGCUUUGGAUGUGUUUUAUCCUCCACAUUUUUUUAACUUUCCUCUUGUUUUCGUUCAUAUCCUCUUCCAUGUUUCUCCAUUCCCUCUGCCCUCCCCUCGCGUUCCUUUAUUAAGGACUAGGUCUUUGACAUAGCAAUGGCUAUCUUACAAUAAAGUUGUCUUUUUGAGGCAGUGCAUAAUGCUUAUCUGCAGCUUCAGUAAAAGAGUGCCUAACUCAAAAGCCUGUUUCUUUCUGAAACUCUUACUUGGUCUAAAGCAUAAGUUAAAGUGAUCUACAUAGGCAGGCAUUUGGCUAAAUUUUCUCUUAAUGUUGCAUGGCUUGAGAAAUCUAGACUGCUUUUACUAGUCAUUAAUUAUUAAAAUGGAAUGCCUUUGUUUUGUACUAAUUAAAAACGUAGGAGAAAGAUCUAAGGAAAUUUGAGAAUUUAGAGUUGCUAUACUAUAUGGUAAAGUAGUGCAGAAACGACUAAUCCCUUAUUGGUUUUAAUGGCAGGUUAUUUCCAUUUGUGUUAAAUUUGUAUGAAUAUUGAAGUCACUGAUUUAAUUUGUAAGAAUAACUUUCGAAGACUGGAAUUUGUUUUCUCUGUUAGGGAUAUAAAGAAAAGGGGGAGAUUAGCAUAGAAGCCUGGUGUAGUAUAUUUUCUUGGAAUAGAAUGGUUUGAGUUUGGUGUUUGGUUGGUUUCAGGGGUUUGUUGUUGGGAUUGGUUCUGUUUGCUUGUUGUUUUUUUCUUCUCCUGAAAGAUGUAAUUAGGAACACACACAUUAAUUAAAGAAUUUUCUGACCAUAUACAUUCUUUUACUGAACUUUGAUAUGUGGAAGGAAAGAGUCAGUUUCAAGAAAAUUUUGAGUAAAUUGGAUCUUUGUUUCUAGGAAGGAAUCAUUGAUUAAGGGAAGGAGAAAAGAUGCAUCUUUACCCUCCUCUUUAAAUAGUCUGCAAUUGGUAGCAGAGCUAUGAUUUAGUACCUAAUUAGACUUAGGGAACUAUCUUAACCUUAAGAUUAAGGAGAUUACAUUAAAAGAUUGCAUCUUUUGGAGCGUGUUGCGCUCUAUGGAAGCUUUACCUUUUACAAAAUGUAAAACGUGGUCCUUGGGCAUCAGCUGCUGAAAGGAAUUCUUAAAUGUGUUUUAGAUACUAUAAAUGGAUUUACAAACAAAUUGGGGUAACAGCAACUGUAAUGAAAGUACUCAAAUGGUGCUAUGGAUCUAUUAUUAGCCCUAAGGAUCUGUUCAUUAUCUGUAGUGAAAAAGGCAACGCUGUAUUGGAGAAUUCUGAUGUGUACUGCAGAUUCGGUGUUAACAGUCUGAAACCUUAACCUAACCUGUUAAUUUAUGUCCUGAACUCUGAUUUGAAAUAGUAAAGAUGGGAACUUUCUUUCAAUGCCUUUCGGUAAACAACUGUGAGAUGUUGAGUUGGGUUGGGGUUUUUUGAGUGCUUUGCAUGAGUAGUGAGACUGUACAAAAAAUAACUCAGUCACCAUAUGAGUAAAUAGGGAAAGCGUAUCAGGUAGGUGCUAAGGAUAGACAUCUUGCUUAAUAGAAAGUUGCUUUCAACUUUAAAUUUUAAGAUAACAGAAUGCCAUUAUCCCUUUUGUGUAAUGAAGGCAUACUGGAAGUACAGCACUGUUAUUCAAGAAUGGGAUCUGCCUGACCUAGUUGUUACCUGAAUGCCUGGAUAUAAGGGAGACUGGAUAUAGAAAUAAAAGAUUGUCAGAGGGAAAAAGGUUUUCUUCCAUAAACAUAUUCCACAUUCCAUGUGGCAAGGAUUCAACUCCCAAGAGACUAUGUCCUUCUCUGAGGGUAGAGUGACCUUCCUAUAACCAAAUCAAAGAAGUAUAGUGUAGGGCAAAAGAAUGGGACUAACAUUCAGCUGGGUAUGCAAUGAUUUGUGGCUAGGGCUUUAGAGUUUGGAAAGCCAAGUCCUAUGGCUGAGAAGCAGCCCUGCAGGCCUGGUUCCUGAAUCAUGGCAUCACCUACUGGUAGCAUAGCCAGAAAUAAUGGUGAUUUGUUUGUGCGUAAUAAAGCUGUGCCAGUAAAAUGCUGUUCAUCUUACUUGUAGAAGGCCCGAAAAAAAGGUCUGGAAAGUGAAAUGGCUAAUCUUCUGCAUCAGUUUAUUUGGGAGAGAGACGGUUAUUCUGAAGAAUUACCAAAGGAGCCCUUUAGAUUGACUGGGCAACAUCCUCCACCCCACAAGCAACUGAAAUGUGGGCUGUAGGUAGAUGUAAAGUGUUGCACAUGAGCUUGGUUUCACCUAUAAAAUUAUGAGUCUGAGCUAUUAUCAACUAUUAUCUGAGCUGGAUCAGACAGGAGUGAGAUUCUAGGAUUAUCAUAUUUCCAUUUAAAAAAAAAUCAUCUUAAAUCUCAGCAGCAGUCGCAAAAAUCAAGUCUAUAUUACAGAUUUUUGUGAAAGGAAUAGUGUGAGACAGAAAACAUCUAUGCUGCUGACUAAACUAAUUUUUUACCCACACCUUGUAUUUUCCAUACAGUUCUGAUCCUCCUAUUAAAAAAAAAUGUUAUAUUAGAAUGGGAAAAAGGUUAGAGAACAACAAACAAGAUAAAGGUUUCUACAGAAGGAAGGACAGGUCAAAUAGUCUUGGACUCUCUUAAUCUGUUUAGGGUUAUGAUAGUGGUUUAAAAAGUCCUGAAUAUUAGGGGAAAUGUGGAUUGACUGUUUGAAAGGCCAAAUCACUGAUAUUUGUAAAAGCCAGAAAGUAAUGAUGAGCUGAUACUUUUGGGGGUAUUUGUUCAGGUUAAAAAAGAAAAGGGCUUUUUCUUUGUUUUGUUAGUUUGUUUCUUUGUUUAAAAAAAGGGUAUGUACUUUAUGGAAAUUUUACUGGUUGGUUUACAGCUAGGACUAAAAGAAGUCACGUGGGUUAAAAACUUAUCCCCAUGUUCAGUGGUCAACUAGUAGAGCUAUAAAAUUAAGUAAUACAUACAUUGUAAACGAUUGAAGGAAAAUGAAAACAGAAGGGAAAUAAGACCAAUAGUAAGCAUAACUAAGGCCAAUAUGAAGCACUGAAUCACUUUAGAGUUAAGCAGAUGUAUUGGUCUAAUGUGAGAGAGAUGUGGUGAAAUUGUUAAGUGAUGUAAAAAGAUAGGAAAAUUAAAAGAUGUAUCUGUUAUAUUAUGUAAUUGUAUAAUAGGAAGUCGAUGAAAUAAUUUCCAGUAAUAGGCACUCAAGGGGUUGCUCCUUAAUAGUGGCUAAAUUUAAACAUUUUUAAAUUGGCAUGCCCAGAUAAUGAGUUUCAACAUGGCUGUCCAAUGAGCUUCCUGGAUCAUUAAUGUUGAUUUUUCUUGUAAGCUUUGAAAUAUUGGAAAAAGAGCACAAAAAUGGCUAACUUGCCAACAUUCAAAGAGGGUAAAAGGCAUGACCUGGAUAAUUACAUGUCUGUCAGCUUGACAUCACUUCUGGGCAAAAUAAUAAGGGACCUAAUUAAUAAUGAAUUAAGGAAGUGUUGUAUAAUUAGUGCCAAUCAACAUGAGUUAUAGGAAAGCCAGACCAUGUCAAGCUAGCAUGAUGUAUUUUUGAUGAAAUUAGAAGUCGUGGUUGAUAAAGCUAAAAGUGUUAAUGUAAUAUUCUCUGAUUUCUGUGAAGAUUAGAGUUACUAGUCCAUAUUUUGAUUCAGAAAUGAAAGUCUUGCAAAAUCAACCAGCAACACUUCACAUAUUUCAUAUGUAUUAAAGGGUAGCUAAUUCUUAGGUGUGAAAAUGCCAGUGUAAAAUGAGACUCACUGCUGAAAAGAUGCAGUCUUCUUGUACUCUUCAUGGCAUUUUUUCUCAGUCCUGUGGCAUUUAACUUCUUAUCAGUGUCCUAUGUAAUAGCUACUGAUGGUUUGCUGAGGACUGAAAGAUUGAGACAUUGUUAAGUAAGGUAGAGGAUUCAGCAGUGAUUCUGUUCACUGUCACUUACCCAGCCAAGGUUGCCACAAAGCUAAAUGUGUUUCAAUGCAAUGAACUGUACAGGAAAAAUAAAAUGCCGCCCAUAUUUAUUGUAAAAAAAAAAAAAAUUUCUGUGAAAUGGUAACUAUAACAGCCUGAGUUGCAGUUUACUCUGUGUGAGUAGCAGCUUUAAUAACUUCAGGUAACAGGAAAUACUGACUCCUACAUUUGACUGGGGGAGCUUACUGAUCAUCAGAUCGGUAUGGUUUUCCAGUCCAAUUCCAUGUCUCAAAUAACUUUUAUGAACUUUGGAGAAAUAAGUAGCGAUGUAUUCCAGAGGCACAUCUUUCUGAAUUGGAUAUGAGUGCAUUUGUUACUUGAAUACCGUGUCCAGUUUGAGGUCUGUGGUUCUUUAAUUAAUAUGGCUAAAUUAGAGAAAGUUCAGAGACAGCCGUGGCACUAAUUACAAGAGUAGAAAAUGUAUUGUGUAGUGAAAGAUCUAAUAAGCCUCAUCUUUGCACUUCCUCAUAAAUGAGGUUAAGGGAUGACUUUGUCGGGGUCUACCAGUACAAAUGCAGGGAACAAAACCUUGAUAAUGGGAUCUUUAGUCUGGCUAAAAAUCAUGAGCUCUAGGGGCUGGAAGCUAUAGACAAGCAGAUUCCGAGCAGGGGAAAGGAGGCUUCACAGUGUGAGGGAUUUACCAAGCAUUGAAGUAAAUUCUGCAGCAUUCCUGACUAUUUUUAAGGCUGGUACUUUCAAAAAUGUGUAUUAAUUGAAACAAGACUGAAAUCUGAAAACCAUUAUGGACUCUGUUACAAAGGUAAUUAUAUCAUUGCAGUGGUCCAUUCUCGGUGUGUGAAAUGGAAUAUGUAUCAGGCCAAAGACAGUGUUCCACUGAACAAUGGUGCUGUUAAAAAUGCCUUCCAGACCUUUUUCUGAAUAAGACUCAGAAAGGACUUGAACUUUGUCUUCCCACAAAAAAAUACUCUAGUAGUCUGAGUGAUGAGGACUUGAACUCUGCUGUUGCAAAAGAAUAUUUGGCUCUGUAGCAAUGUGAAAAAAGACCAAACCUCAAAUCCUGAUACUAAUUAUGAUGAGGAAUUGUCAUAAUCUGCUCAGUGUCUAACAAAGCCAGACAAAUUAAAUUUUUUAAAAAAUCAGUGCUUUGGGACAUGGACAAUUAGAGGACUUCAGAUUUGUUCUCACUUUCUCAUUUAAGAGAACAUAUGUGAAAUCUGCACUGCCUUUUGGGAUGAAAACAUAAAAGGAUUGUUUCCAUUCAAACUGAAGUCCCAGCUUCCAAAGGUUACUCUAAUUUUAUUUUUGGCAGUAUUGCUUUUGUGGUGCUCUUGAUGCCGUACCAGAUUCUGGAAUGAAGAGGCUUAUACCUUUCUAAGCUUUGCUUACCCUCUUAAAUGCCACUCCUUAUUCCAGUGGCUUCUCACAUUUUCCACAGCUUUGAUGAAGUAGCUAGCAUUCAGAAUCUCCUGUGUUGGGUAAUAGCAUCUUCCUUAAGAACAGCCAUGGAAUAAAGUGUUUAUUGUUUUAUCAUUAAAUGUCUGAUGUUUAUGCCAAUUAGCAUAAAUUAGAAAUCAGAUUCAGACAUUUUUGGGGAGCCUAAGGCCAUAUUAGGGGAACUUGUAGAUAUCAGUAAAACAUCUGUCUUUAUUAAUGCUAAGGGCAAUUGCAAGGAUUUUUAAAGUCUAUUAAAAAAACCCCCAAAAACCUACACAGGUCCAAAUAAACAAAAAAACCCCAUCCCUAACAAUAGUCUUUGAUAGUAGUUACAUUAAAGAGAUACAAACCCCAGGAAUAUUCAAAAGAGAGAAAAUAUUUAAUAAAUUAUGUCCAGUGUAAUUGGAAAACAGCUGAUACUUACAUUAAACAAUGGUGAAUUAUGUUCUAUUUCAACAGUAAAUGGAAAGGGUAUUAAGUAUAUACUCCCAGUAAAGACCUUUAGACCUGCGGGACUGGAUAACACUGAAAACAAUUGGCUAAAGAGCCUUCACUACCACCUAUAUUGACAGAUCAAACCUGAAACACAGAUAAGCCUCCAGAAAACUGCAAGAAAGUUAAUACGGCAAUAUUUAAAGAUGCUGUUGAUAACAUCUUGCUGCUCAUUCUGGCUGUUUUCUUCUCCAUUAAAAGAGUAAUUAGUGUCUGUUAUUUUACCCCAUCAAGGAUUUUAUAUACUCUACCCUAUAACGAUUGUUUUCUUUUGCUAAGAUGCACAGAACAAGGUUUUAUCUUUUGUAACUCAACACUCAGCAAUUUUUCAACACAUUAAAGUAUUAUUAGCUACAGUGAAUAUAAUAACUUAGCAUUGAGCACAAUGAUGCUGCAUGCAGAAAUAAAAUAGUGGGAAGGGAAUCCCCUUUUUAUGCAAGGGAACACAUUCACCUGCUUGGAUAGCAUAGUGCUGGAAGCUUAUGCAGACUUGGUUGUCCACCAUGCCUUCUAGAUCCUUACUCAUUGCAGUUCCUAUGCUACAAAUUUGUUCUGUAUGCUAGUUCUGUUCCUGUGUGACCCUGCACCUGAUUGUUUGAAAUUUCAUUAAGCUUAGAUGCGCUCAGCUGAGUGGUUCAAAUCACUUUGUAAGAAGUUCUCUCUGUUUUUUAUACAAAUAUUUGCAUAACCAGGUGUGGUCUUGUAUUUCUUUAUAAUUCGGAUAACAGUUUUGCUUGGUGUCAGGCCUUGCCUAAUGAGAAACAUCCUUGUUUGAGAAGGAUUUCCUCAUUUGGAACAACUUUUUGUAAUCUGCCACCUAGCUAUUUCUAAUUUAAUCUAAUCUCAGAAAUAUAACAAUAGAAUAAAACUUUCCCUAACACACUCAAACAUUUACUGGCCUUACAUCUUUUACGAUAUGGACUUUUCCUAGUGUCCUCUGUUCUAUAAAUUUUGAUUAAUUUAUGUAGAACAUUUUCUGCAUUCCCUAUUUUUUACUGGUUUUAAUCUUUUAUUUCAGUUGUUUUGGUAUGAUUGUAUGCAUCAAUAGUUUAUAUAGUUGUUUGUGACUAUGAUCUGCUAUUCCCUCUUAAAGCAGGCUGUUAUCUAAGGUUGUUAACUCACUGAAAAGUGCUAAAAACUUCAGAAUAAUAGUAAUUUUUUUUCUGACAUUUUUUUCUUCUUUGCAAAUAUUGGGAUGGGUGUGUUAUUUGUGGUGGAGGGAGGAAGACCCAAACCAGGAAUUAUUUAUUUAUUCAAUUCGUGAAAAGUAACCUCCGUCAUUUUCCAGCUUGUGAUUUAGUUUUUCAGUUCUCAAGUUCUAUCUGAAUACUUGGAAAAUAUGUUGCAAAGCAGGAACGUUUGGGGGAAAAUAAGCCCCAUUCCAUUAGGAAUUUUUUUCAACCUUUCAUGUGUAUUUUAAGAGGGUUUUAUCAACAGUUCUAGUAAUAUUUCUGUUUAUUAUUUAAUAAACAAAAAAAAUGGGUUUCUUGAGGUUGCUACUGUUAUUCAAUUUAUUUGGUGAAGUUGUUCACUUCCACAUUUGAAGUUGCUGUUAUGAACUCUGCAGCUUACCGUGUUGCUGUUGGAACAGGAAAAAAAAUACUUGGAAGUAAAAUGUGUGAAUCAAGAAACCUGGUCUGCUGUGCUGUAUCCAUUCAAGUCAGAGAGGAAUAAGCACGUCAGACUUUCUGUCUUGAAAUUGCUUCUGCUUCAUCUAAGGUCAGAAUUAUGAAUAAACUAACUUCUGAUGACCCGUGUGGUCAUAAUCUA